CCCACUUCCGCUCGCCGCCUGGACGCGCGGCCCCGCGGCGCCAUUUCCGCUUCAACCACUCGUGAACGCGAGCGCAGGCGCGCCGGAGGAAACGGAGGCUGCGCUUGCAAACCUCGCAAGAAGCUCGCCCUUGUCGUCUCCCAGCGGGCUUCUUAGCUCCCAGCUUGUUUGAUGGGGGUGCCUCUUUUUCUUUCCAGGUAUAGCUGUCCAGCGACACCAUCAUGCAUUCAUUUCUCCAACAAACAUUUUCAUGGGCUCUUGCUCUAUACUGGGGAUGUAGUGGUAAAUGAAAUGGACGAGGCCCUGCCCUCGUGGAACUUACAGUCUGGCAAAGGAAACAGACAAUAAAAUUCUCAGUUGUCUAAGGAGGCAGAGAUGCAUGGGGAGAGGAUCAGAGUAGGGAUGCGGAAGCAGCGAGUGGUCAGGAGUGUGCGUGCCAAAAGGCAGGAGACCUGUGGGACGUGGGGGCAGCUGGGGCCGGAACUUGCGCUGGAGGAACACCCCUUGCCUGCUGGGGCGAGAAGAGGACCCUUUCCUUGGGUGAAAUUCCCCAUAUUGUUAAAAGGACAAUUAAAGAAAUGAAAGAGAGGUCACCUGGGUGAAUAGGCAACUUAGAUGGGCCUCCCUGUGUUCCUGUCAUGCCUCCAAUUCUGCGUCCAGGUGUCCGGAACACAUUUUUUUCUGCCUUUGAAACCUUCCAGUACCUCUGGCAGAGAUAUACCAUACCCUCCUUGUUACCUGCGUGCGGAAUCUUAACUCAUCGUUGUGCUACAUCUGCACCUUCUGCCUUUGUGCCUUGUUUUGUGUUUUCCCUCCUCCGGGGAGAAUAUAAUAAACUUAGCUGAGUCCGUUCUACAUACAAGGAAAUAAUUUAUUUUCUGCUAUGUGUUUGGGGAUGGGGAUAAAAAAAUGAACAAGAAACUAGCUCCUAUCAUUAAGGCACAGAUAGCCCUUUGAAACAUUACUUAACGGGCUAUGGAUAAGCUUCAGGAUAUUGCUGAUCCCCUAAAAUUAUACGCUAACUUAAAUUUUUUUUUUUUUGAGACAGAGUCUUGCACUCUUGCCCAGGCUGGAGUGCAAUGGCAUGAUCUCGGCUCACUGCAACCUCUGCCUCCCCGGUUCAAGCGAUUCUCCUGCCUCAGCCUCCCAAAUAGCUGGGAUUAAAGGUGCCUGCCACCAUGCCCUUUUAAUGUUUUGUAUUUUUAGUAGAGACGGGGUUUCACUAUGUUGGUCAGGCUGGUCUCGAACUCCUGACAUCAUGAUCCUCCUGCCUCGACCUCCCA
rnacentral:lncRNA from 10 species